rnacentral:lncRNA from 1 species
CACAGUGGUUUUUCUUGCCUUCACCUUUUCCACAUUUGUAACUCCCCUUUUCCCAGUGAGAAACCUGGUUUUCAUUAUCCUUGAUAUAUAUGUAAGCAAAUUUUUGCUGUGUAGGCCAAAAUUUCAAGAGCGGGAGGAGGAGGAGAAAGGACAGGAAGAAGGAAGAAAGAGGAAAGAGGAAGAGUUUUAUCUUUUUAUCUUCAUUUUACAGAACCAUUGCCCUCUUUCAGAAAUAAGGAAGAGAAGACCCAGAAUGGCAGGGAAGGGGAUAACUGCCCCAGGAGAAACAGCUUGUUGGUCUCAUGAGAGGAGUUUCCCCAUUACAGACUUCAUCUCCAGAUUAAAUAAUCAAACCAUCUGGACCUGGUGUAUGCAGGAGACAACUCUGGGGUUGUUGACUCAGCUGACUUCCUAGAUGCUUGUUUUAACCCACCCUUCCCACCAGGUAAGCUCUGCCUGACUUCCUAGACAUUUGACUCUUUCAUCAGUUUUUCUUACUUCAGAUACUUACUUGAAGUUUCAAGGGUCUGGGUCCUCAGUUCUUCCUGUCAUCUGAUGGCCUUUGCCUAAACACACUGAUCCUGUAACCAUCAUGCUCUCAUAAAGCAAUUCACACUACAUUUCAUGAACACCUGUUUUAUACAAAGUACUAUACUAAGCAUUUUGGGGAUGAUAAAGAACUUGAGAUGUGGCUUUGAUAAUUAGGAGGUUUCAGUGUUGUGGGGGAUGUAAAUAUAUAUAAUGAGGUGAUGAUGACAAACAUUUAUGAGUGUGGAGGGAAAUCUGGGGCUCUGAUUUUUGUAAUAAUGACCUACUUAGUCCCACUAGCUCUGGACUAGCAUUUUAUAGAUUUUUUCCUAAAGGUUCUUUUUUGUGCUAUUCAAUAUUUAGCCUUUGUUGUUUCUUCUGAUUAUGAAGUAAUAGAUAUUCAUUGUAGAAAACAUGGGAAAAGUAGAAAAAACAUAAAGAACAAAAAAAACUACUCAUAAUCUUAUCAUCUAGAGAUGGAAUGUUUCUAUUAAUGUUUGAGUGUAUUUUUUCUUAUUCUUUAAAAAAAGUUUUAUUGUUGGCAUUUCCCCACAUCAUUAAUAUUCUUUGGAAGAAUGUUUUUAAAUAGCUGAAUGGAAUUGAUGUUUCACCGUUUAUAUACUGGCCCUCUAAUGUUGAGUCUUUUCCUAUUUUAAUAGCUAGAUUCUUCCUUGCUUGAGCUUCACAGGCCCAGAGUUGAGACUGUUCUAAGAUACCUGGGGUAGAGUAGUGUUUCAUAAAAAUGGAGCUGUGUCCACAUGGGGUACACUUGGGUGAGAGGGGUGCAACCCCCUGAGACAUAAAUGACAGCAUGUAAUCUGUGCUCCUUCUCAGCUCGCACAUGCAUGAGCAUAGUAGAUACCACACCUAGAAAGUCAAAGAGGCGC